CAGGCAGCAUGGAGAGCAGUUCUUGCAGCUCCCAGCAGAAAACUACUGGAAGCUACUGCAAUUACAAAGUACUGGAGUUAUGUGCCCCUGGUAAUGCAUCCCCAUCAGAAGGCACAGCACUGCACUCUGCAACAGCUGCAGUUUCCAGACAGAUGUCAAGGGCAGCACCAGGAAUUUUUUGACCAGAACAGAA